UUUUUUUUUUUGGCCAUCAUUUUUCUGGCUGGAGAAUUGCACUGAGGACCCUUUAUAUCCAGAUCUCCCACUAACACUUUUCAAAUUCUUCCUGAAAACCAAGAUUUGCAGUCUUCAACAUAUUCACAUGGCUUUAGUGACGAAGUUGAUUUCACAAAGACUGCAUAAUCAGUCCCCCAGUGCCUACUGUGUCCCAUUAUUUCUAGGCGGGUUUUGCUCACUCUUCUUUUUGUUCAUAACUAGAAUUCUGUAAAACAAAUUCUUUAGCACUGCAGAUACUAGAAUCACUUUUAAGCAGAGCCUUCACUUUCAAAACAUGUUUUUUUGGAUGAUCAGUUGGUUACCUCGGCAUAUUUAGGAGGAUCUAAGCUAACACUCUAUCUAAACUAUAUAUUGAGAGGCAGUGAUUUGCUUAUACUUGUCAAAAACUCCUAACUAUCAAUAUCAUUUCUCACAGGACUAGUUUAAAUGACACAACUUCUGUGAAGUUAUUUUUAACUUCUACUUCCUGAUUGCAUACAGACCUAGCAUUCUGGCUAUGGUACACAGCUCUGAAAAACAUUGCCCUGGCUUUUGUUAUAUACUUUCCAGGACUGAAUGCACUCACUUUAAAUAUACUGGCCUUUAUCUGCAGCUGAAGAAGAGUGUUUGUGUCUCAACAGCUGCUUAAACAUAUGCUUUAUCUGUAAAAUUCUGCAUAUCAUCCUUUUGUCAGUGACUCUUCCUCAUUUUUCCCCUGUGUGUUUGAUCCCCUCUCUUUUAAAGACUGUCAAAUUCUAUGGAUUGUUGGUGAGGAGAAGAAAGAGAAGGGAGACACCUUGUCCAAAAUCUGUGAAUAACAGAUUAUUUAAAGCUCCUUCUAUCAUUUCAACCCUAUUCCUCCACAUGAGAUGCCAUGUGCUACUCAAGCCUACUACUGCUUUCUGCCUUCUCCAAAUUACCACCAUGUCAUUAUUUGCCACCACUUGCUCAUUCCCCCAGACAUCUUUGCACCUACUUCCCUGUGCAGAUACAGGUUUCAAUGGACUUAUCCCCAGCCAAUUUAUCAAAUUCCUCUCUGGCUUCCAUUAUACCUUCAGACUUCACAGCACUCUGUGGCAAAAAGUUUCACAAGAACUUAAAGAUAAAUAACAUAUAAUUCAGAUGCUUGAGUAGUUUCACUUAACUAAUAUUUUAACUAUUCUUCCUUUCUCCUCCCACACAAACAAUUCAAAAACUUUCAUAGUAAGGUUUUUACAAAUAUAAUUCCGAAGCAUUAUCACCACCCUUUUACAUGUCGCCAAAACAAAUCGUUUUUUGAUCACCUUCAAUGUGCAAAUUACAUACAAAAACCAUUUUUUUGUGCUAAAUGUUGUAGGGAAAAAAUAUUUUAAAACUUUGUUGAGCAAUUUAAAAAGGGAAAAAUCCAAAGAUAAUAAGAUAAUUUUGGAGGACACAUCUGUUUUCCUGUAUUCAAAUUCGAGUGUCUGCUUCAGAUGUUAUUAAUUAUCCCCAUGACAGAGAGAAGAUAUAACAGUGGUUCUAUGAAAAUACCUGGCUGUGUGGCCGUCCCACACACUUUGAGCAGCUGCACAUGUAAGAUCCAAGUUCCCAUGACAUGAACAUAAACCAACAGCUUUCAAAAGUUAGUCUAAAAAUUAAAGGUUUGUGUAGGAGCUAAACAGUAAUAUUUAGAAAACCACAAAAUAGUAAGUAAUUCUCAUUAUUACAUUUCUAACUGUGGUAACUGCCAUGUCUCCUGCUCUCCGUAAAUCCAUUUUACAUAAGCUAUCUGGAAAGGACAGAAAAGAAGAACUCUACCCAUUGACUUUAAAGGUGCAGAAGAACAUGAGAUAGAUGAAAUUGUAUGCUCAGGCCUUGAUAAUGGCAAAACAGCCAAAGUUGCAUAAAGUCUCAAAACAGACAAUUCCUUGAGAAUAGGUUCUACAAAAUUCUACAAUAUUUCUGCAGAAUGCUAGGUUUAAGCCAUGUCCUAUAAUGUGCCUAUUUUCUCAGCUUUUAGGCAAUUUUUUUUUUAUGUCAUUGUGAAUAUCUUUACCCUUAAAAGUUUUCAUCCUUUUUUGACCUGCUGUUCUUUGAACAGCACUGAACUGGAAGAGGUUUUGCAUAUAGAAGCGUAUUUCUCUGGUUGCUAAGUUUUCUGUAUUGCAGUUUCACUGACUGGUCACUUUACCUUAGGGGACUGAAUGCCGCUACAUCAUUUAUUCAUCUAUACGUCUUUCUACUUCCCAGUCAUUCUCCGCAUCAUAUGCUUCUAUGCUUCAUAAAGUCAAUGAGAGUUUUGCCAUUGACUCUGGGGAGAACAAGAUCAAACUUUACUUCAUUUUCCCUCUAAUCUAAUUGAUCUUUUCAGUCUCCUCUCACACUGCAACAUCAGAUCUUCCCAAACUUCUCAUUAUUUUUGCCACAGCUUUGUUGCAAUUAGCUCAUUCUGUGAUCAGUAGAAAAAAAUCCCCAUUGGUAACUUGUGAGGGUUCAGUAAUUCCAGCCCAGAUGACUUUAUGGAAGUACUAUCACUUUGCUUUUAUUUUGAUUUCUGUCUGAACCCCUUUCCAAGAUAUUCUGGGGUUUUAUUAUCAUAAUUUCGGAGAAGAGAAACUCAGGCACAGAAGAGUUAUGUGAUUGAUCCAAAGUCUCUCUGCAAGUCAGCAAAUCAAAUAGAAACAAAUCUACUGCAUCGGGCUUACAUCUUCUCUAGUCUUUUAGAAACAGCAAUAAGUUUCUUUGAAUAUUAUUUUUCACCCUACUUGAUGGAUAAAAGGCACAAAUAACACACUUAGCUAAAUCAACUAAGUUAAUUUACAAUGAUGUAUAAAUUAGACUGACCUCUGAGACUGGGCUACUUCUCCUUCCACCAAAUAUACUGUGAGUUUUCCACUGUGGCGCUGUGGCAGCAAAGAAUUCUGACAGAACAAAACUGUCCUCUAAUUUCGGUGUACAUUAAAAAAAAAAAAAAAAGUCAAGGAAUUCAUUCCC
rnacentral:lncRNA from 1 species